rnacentral:rRNA from 1 species
AGCGGCCGUAGCAUACGGCAGCGGCAGACGGGAGAGUAACACGUGGGAACGCGCCCUUCGGUCCGGGAUAACCCAGGGAAACUUGGGCUAAUACCGGAUACGCCCUUACGGGGAAAGAUUUAUUGCCGAAGGAACGGCCCGCGUCCGAUUAGCUAGUUGGUGAGGUAACGGCUCACCAAGGCGACGAUCGGUAGCUGGUCUGAGAGGAUGACCAGCCUCACUGGGACUGAGACACGGCCCAGACUCCUACGGGAGGCAGCAGUGGGGAAUAUUGGACAAUGGGCGCAAGCCUGAUCCAGCCAUGCCGCGUGGGUGAUGAAGGCCCUAGGGUUGUAAAGCCCUUUCAGCGGGGAAGAUAAUGACGGUACCCGCAGAAGAAGCCCCGGCUAACCUCGUGCCAGCAGCCGCGGUAAUACGAAGGGGGCUAGCGUUGCUCGGAAUUACUGGGCGUAAAGCGCACGUAGGCGGCUUUCUAAGUCGGGGGUGAAAUCCUGGAGCUCAACUCCAGAACUGCCUUCGAUACUGGAGAGCUCGAGUCCGGGAGAGGUGAGUGGAACUGCGAGUGUAGAGGUGAAAUUCGUAGAUAUUCGCAAGAACACCAGUGGCGAAGGCGGCUCACUGGCCCGGUACUGACGCUGAGGUGCGAAAGCGUGGGGGAGCAAACAGGAUUAGAUACCCUGGUAGUCCACGCUGUAAACGAUGGAUGCUAG